rnacentral:rRNA from 1 species
UAUCAUCUGUUUCUUAAAUAUUUAUUGAAUUUGACCUUUAAGUGAAAAGGCUUAAAUAAAUCAAAAAGACGAUAAGACCCUAUAAAUCUUUACAAGAAAUAUAUUUUAUGUUUUAGCUUAUAAGUAUAUAAGAAAUAAAAAUAUAAGUUUGUUGCGCUGGGGCGGCGUAGAUAUAUAAAUAAACUGUCUAUGGUUUAAAUACAAUAAUUAUUGCUUAAUACAAAUUGAUCCUUAAAUAGAUUAAAAGAUUAAGAUACUUUAGGGAUAACAGCGUUAUUUUUUUUGAGAGUUCUUAUCGAAGAAAAAGUUUGCGACCUCGAUGUUGAAUUAAAGUUUCUUUAUGGUGUAGCCGCUAUAAGAGAGAGUCUGUUCGACUUUUAAUACUUUA